rnacentral:rRNA from 1 species
UACCAGCACCCCGAGUGGUCGGGACGUUUAUUGGGCCUAAAGCAUCCGUAGCCGGUUCUACAAGUCUUCCGUUAAAUCCACCUGCUUAACAGAUGGGCUGCGGAAGAUACUAUGGAGCUAGGAGGCGGGAGAGGCAAGCGGUACUCGAUGGGUAGGGGUAAAAUCCGUUGAUCCAUUGAAGACCACCAGUGGCGAAGGCGGCUUGCCAGAACGCGCUCGACGGUGAGGGGUGAAAGCUGGGGGAGCAAACCGG